rnacentral:rRNA from 1 species
AGGACGAACGCUGGCGGCGUGCUUAACACAUGCAAGUCGAGCGAACCUUCGGGUUAGCGGCGAACGGGUGAGUAACACGUGGGCAACCUGCCCCGAGCUCUGGGAUAACUCCGGGAAACCGGGGCUAAUACCGGAUAUGACCCGAGAAGACAUCUUCUCGGGUGGAAAGUUUUUCGGCUCGGGAUGGGCCCGCGGCCUAUCAGCUUGUUGGUGGGGUAAUGGCCUACCAAGGCGACAAUCCGUAGCUGGUCUGAGAGGACGACCAGCCACACCGGAACUGAGACACGGUCCGGACUCCUACGGGAGGCAGCAGUGGGGAAUAUUGGACAAUGGGGGAAACCCUGAUCCAGCGACGCCGCGUGUGUGAAGAAGGCCUGCGGGUUGUAAAGCACUUUUAGUGGGGACAAAAAGCUACGGAUUAAUACUCUGUGGUCUUGAUUUAACCCAAAGAAAAGCACCGGCUAACUCUGCGCCAGCAGCCGC